rnacentral:rRNA from 1 species
GACGUAGGGCGCGAGCGUUGUCCGGAUUUAUUGGGCGUAAAGAGCUCGUAGGCGGUUUGUCGCGUCUGCUGUGAAAUCCGGAGGCUCAACCUCCGGCCUGCAGUGGGUACGGGCAGACUAGAGUGCGGUAGGGGAGAUUGGAAUUCCUGGUGUAGCGGUGGAAUGCGCAGAUAUCAGGAGGAACACCGAUGGCGAAGGCAGAUCUCUGGGCCGUAACUGACGCUGAGGAGCGAAAGCAUGGGGAGCGAACAGG